UUGCUGAUGGACGCAUUGUAUUAUUGGAUCCUCCUGAAACCACACAGUCUGUCACAAUUGUUAGUGAUGCAUUUUAAGAACCACUUGCUUUUAGAUCUUUCAGUUUGUCUGCCAGACAAAGUAACCUUGCAUUUUUUCCACUCUAGGAUGAUGAUGAAGAGACCACAUCUGCUGUGACUGAAUUAGAAAGUGCUGGGAGACCCACGGAGUUGUCUGCAAAGGAGCUGUAUAAGGUCCAUCUAUAAAGGCAAAUUAAAAAAAACUGACAUGGACAUGGACCUUAUACAGCUUCAGCUAGAGGAGAAAAGGCUGACCAUUAAAAAGGCCAAACUUGAAAUAGAACUAUACUGGAGCAUCGCCUUAAGGAUAUGAAGAAAUAGAACACAUUAAAUAAAGGGAUUUUGACAAAUCAUGUCUCUAAGCAUUCUGCCAUCUCUGUGGUCUGCUAGAUUCAAUGGGUGUUGUUCUAGGUCAUCUUCAUCAGGACAGGUCACAUGCCCUAUUUGGAGUGACCCUGAGCCCACGCAGACAUUGAAACCUCGCCCGUGUUCUGCUGUGAGACAGGUUGAAGCAUGUCUGUGGUCCAGGCUCAGGAUCAGGGUAGGGUGUCAUCAUAUAGGGGAGGCAAGGGUGUCCUCUGUCCCCCAGCAAGUAACCAUAGAAGUGUCCUGUAAUGUUUGAGGUGUUUUGUAAAUGUAAUAAAGACUACAAGCAUUUGUCUAACA
ensembl:lncRNA